UACGGCAACAUCACGUUGAAACACUGGUUCCCGUACGAUCAACCAAUUUAAGCAACGUCGAGCUUGAUCAGUAUGUAGAUGGGUGACCGCUUGAGCAUAUCGGGUGCUGUAAG